GAGUUUGAUCCUGGCUCAGGAUGAACGCUGGCGGCGUGCCUAAUACAUGCAAGUCGAGCGAACAGAUAAGGAGCUUGCUCCUUUGAAGUUAGCGGCGGACGGGUGAGUAACACGUGGGUAACCUACCUAUAAGACUGGGAUAACUUCGGGAAACCGGAGCUAAUACCGGAUAACAUUUAGAACCGCAUGGUUCUAAAGUGAAAGAUGGUUUUGCUAUCACUUAUAGAUGGACCCGCGCCGUAUUAGCUAGUUGGUAAGGUAGCGGCUUACCAAGGCGACGAUACGUAGCCGACCUGAGAGGGUGAUCGGCCACACUGGAACUGAGACACGGUCCAGACUCCUACGGGAGGCAGCAGUAGGGAAUCUUCCGCAAUGGGCGAAAGCCUGACGGAGCAACGCCGCGUGAGUGAUGAAGGGUUUCGGCUCGUAAAACUCUGUUAUUAGGGAAGAACAAAUGUGUAAGUAACUGUGCACAUCUUGACGGUACC
rnacentral:rRNA from 1 species